GCGGCGUGCUUAACACAUGCAAGUCGAACGGGAAAUACUUCAUUGAGACUUCGGUGGAUUUGAUCUAUUUCUAGUGGCGGACGGGUGAGUAACGCGUGGGUAACCUGCCUUAUACAGGGGGAUAACAGUCAGAAAUGACUGCUAAUACCGCAUAAGCGCACAGGGCCGCAUGGCCCGGUGUGAAAAACUCCGGUGGUAUAAGAUGGACCCGCGUUGGAUUAGCUGGUUGGUGGGGUAACGGCCCACCAAGGCGACGAUCCAUAGCCGGCCUGAGAGGGUGAACGGCCACAUUGGGACUGAGACACGGCCCAGACUCCUACGGGAGGCAGCAGUGGGGAAUAUUGCACAAUGGGGGAAACCCUGAUGCAGCGACGCCGCGUGAAGGAAGAAGUAUCUCGGUAUGUAAACUUCUAUCAGCAGGGAAGAUAGUGACGGUACCUGACUAAGAAGCCCCGGCUAACUACGUGCCAGCAGCCGCGGUAAUACGUAGGGGGCAAGCGUUAUCCGGAUUUACUGGGUGUAAGGGGAGCGUAGACGGUGUGGCAAGUCUGAUGUGAAAGGCAUGGGCUCAACCUGUGGACUGCAUUGGAAACUGUCAUACUUGAGUGCCGGAGGGGUAAGCGGAAUUCCUAGUGUAGCGGUGAAAUGCGUAGAUAUUAGGAGGAACACCAGUGGCGAAGGCGGCUUACUGGACGGUAACUGACGUUGAGGCUCGAAAGC
rnacentral:rRNA from 1 species